rnacentral:rRNA from 1 species
UACGUAGGGGGCUAGCGUUGUCCGGAAUCAUUGGGCGUAAAGAGCGUGUAGGCGGCCCGGUAAGUCCGCUGUGAAAGUCGGGGGCUCAACCCUCGAAUGCCGGUGGAUACUGUCGGGCUAGAGUGCGGAAGAGGCGAGUGGAAUUCCGUGGGUGUAGCGGUGAAUGACGUAGAGAUGUGGAGGAACACCGAUGGCGAAGGCAGCCUCCUGGGCCA